rnacentral:rRNA from 1 species
AUGGAGAGUUUGAUCCUGGCUCAGGACGAACGCUGGCGGCGUGCUUAACACAUGCAAGUCGUACGGUAAGGCCCUUUCGGGGGUACACGAGUGGCGAACGGGUGAGUAACACGUGAGUAACCUGCCCACAACUUUGGGAUAACGCUAGGAAACUGGUGCUAAUACUGGAUAUGUGCUCCUGCUGCAUGGUGGGGGUUGGAAAGCUCCGGCGGUUGUGGAUGGACUCGCGGCCUAUCAGCUUGUUGGUGGGGUAGUGGCCUACCAAGGCGGCGACGGGUAGCCGGCCUGAGAGGGUGACCGGCCACAUUGGGACUGAGAUACGGCCCAGACUCCUACGGGAGGCAGCAGUGGGGAAUCUUGGACAAUGGGGGCAACCCUGAUCCAGCCAUGCCGCGUGAGUGAUGAAGGC